ACAACGUCGUCGUUAAUUCUUGGCCUCAUAUAAAUGACUUUCUCAUUAAAAUAAACUCUAAUUUCUUUCAAAUAAGGUUCAUUCCACCAUAGCAAACAAAAUGUGACGACAUAACCUGUUAUCGUCAUUGCCAUUCUGACAACGUUGCCGUUCCGAGCGAAACGUCAAAGCAACCAACUUAUAAAUGCAGGUGGUCAAAUUCACAACUAAUCAAUUCGCUGUAAUUUGCGAUAGCAGCGCCCAUUUCAACUGCAAAUGUAAGUUUGUUCGGUAUAGACGUUUUUGCGAUGAAUCGACUUGAACACAGUGUCGCACAGUGUCGUUUUUCGCUUGAGAAACCACGUGUGUUUUUAAAAGCUGGAAAACGGGAUUAUGAUCAUUUCGCAGUCAGUUGCGCUGCGCACGCGUCUCGGUGUGUUUACGUUUUUUUGGUUUGAUCUAUUUAUUUUUUUGUGAACAUGUUCUUGACGUUUGAAGUGAUCGCCACAUUCGGAGUGUCAGCUGUGGUAUCCUUCUCGAUAUCCUCGGCAAUCCUCCUCCUGCUGGCUGCCAAGCGCGGCCUGCUUCGCAAGCGAGAGAAGCCUGGGGUGACCAACGCUGCGCUGCUUCCGCCCUCCGCCCCGCCGAAGGCGCUGCUUGCAGAACAGACACCUUUGCAGUCUUAGGAUGUAUACCUAACAAACUUUGCUGGUUUUUGUUAGACCAUUGGAACACAGACUAACAGAUACCGCAUUAUAAUAAAGCGUUUACGAAGAGCGCGAUGAUAAAAACCGAUGUUUAUCCUUAGAUAGGGAUAACGUAUGAAACCUGACAACCUGACAAAAACCCGGACGUCACCCUAAAAUCCAGACAUAACCUGGACGGUAAUUUCUUUAAAAAACCCUGACACUCACCGCCGCAAUCCCGAAAUGGACCACAAAUCCUGACAAUUCUGACAUGCAACCAUCCCUAGACUACAACGCAUUUUUUGCACAUAUGUAUUUCCUAUCUUGCAUUCAUGUAAGUAGGGUAAUUUCUUUAAAAAACCCUGACACUCACCGCCGCAAUCCCGAAAUGGACCACAAAUCCUGACAAUUCUGACAUGCAACCAUCCCUAGACUACAACGCAUUUUUUGCACAUAUGUAUUUCCUAUCUUGCAUUCAUGUAAGUAGUCGUCAACGUGGAAUCAACCGGACGUGUAACAAAUCGACGUAUAAUUUCUUUUUACCUUUUUUUAAACUUUUAUAGUAAAAUUAAGUUGUUUUUCGUCUUCCCAACAAAAAUAGCUAAGUCUUGGGAAAUAUAAUGUAAUGGAGAGAAAUUAUAAGACCUUAUAGAGGAAAGCCACAGCAUUUAAAUAACGUGUUUUGCAUUUGGUCAUGACCGGAUGUUACAUUUAUUUUAUAGAACUUUAAUAACAUACCUACGGUUAAUUUUCGACCAGCGGCAGCGUAUAACAUUUUUAAAACAAGAUCCGUCCAAACGCAAAAUUGUUAAGUAGUACUUCGAAUUAGUGAUGCAAUCUCAAUUUAUUUUUAACGUAUGUAUACUUACAGUAGGUGAUCGGUAUUUCGGCGCUCGCCAGUCCGGCACGCCCAUUAAUCCGACAAUUAGUACUCAAGUGACCCGUUUAAUACUCCCACAGCUUAUGGCUCCUCUACACGAUGGGCCAGCGCCGGCCACUCCAAGGGACGCAUUUAUGCGUUAGAGGGAGCAAAUGAUAUUGCUAUCUCAUUCUACCGCAUGGCUGCGUCCGUUGGAGUGGCUGGCGCUGGCCCAUUGUGUAGAGGAGUCAUUAGAGCGGUUUCAGACUAGUGUAUUUUUCUGGGGUUACCAGCUUACACUCGCUUUGGUAUUUACGCGCUUACACGCGCGUUAAGGGGCCCACUGAUUGAGGGCCCGGGCGGUAUCGGCCUGUCAGUCAAAACAAAAUGUUGACAGUUCUGAACAACUGACAGGCCGAUACCGUCCGGCGGACUGUUAAUCAAUGGGCCCCUUUACUUUUCCGGUCUAAACGUACCGUGGUGUACUGGAGUGGCGUCCCUUACACAGCCGAACGUUGGAUUACAGAGCAAAAGGGUUGUAUUGCAUUACAUGUAGAAUUUAUAUUCUAUAUAAAGAUUUAUUUGCCAUACAUAGGUAUCCAAUAAUCGAACCGUUCUGACAAUAUGUACGGCAUAGGGGCAAAAUUUCCACUGCAGGAUAACCGAGUACCUACUGUAUUUCUGAAUACAAAAAUUAUGUAUUUAAUUUAAUUUUGGAUAUUUUAACACGGUAUUAUUUUUACCACAGAACUUCAAAUACCUAUAUCCAAUAAAAAAACACGUGCCCGUUUAUAAACGUGUUAGUUUUAAGUCAAAAUUGUGAUAAAUGUGCCUUAUAAUUGCAGCUAUUUUGUUUUUAUUGUGUAUUAAGAAUAAAUUAAUCAGCUAA